UAUAUUUUCAAUGGAGAGAUUCAAGGAGAGGAAAAGGCUUGAUUAAGAUGAGUUUUCAGUUGCCCCCAAGUCUUGUUAUAGGGAAUCGAAGUAAUGCAGUAGGAGGUAAACUCCGAGUCACGAGUUAAUUGGGAUCUAGUCCAGAGUGCCUGUUGAUGUUCUCCUAACCAAAUUUGUUACUUUUGACCUGUUCUUCUACAUCGGUUGUAGUGUUUUGCAUGUGUGAAUGAACUUGUUGUGCCGUUUGGAGGGAAGAAGCCAAAGAUCAGCAGCGAUUGCUGCGGUAGCGGCUACAGCCAUGAUGCCUAAAAUAGCUGCGGGCCCUUUUACAUCACCCCAUGAGAUAUCUUUGAUAGGUGUUGGUUCAUUCUUCCUUUCCUUGGCCGAUGGCAUGCCGGGUGGUGGGGUUACCGACAUCAGGCUGAAGCAUGGAAGCGGGCGUUUGAAUUCCUCGUGCCAGCUCAUGGUGAGGCUUAGUCAGCCGAGCGGGUAGCCACAUAGGACCUUGUGGAGAAAGCACAGCAGCGUAACCUCUCCCUCACGUGAGUAAAGGUACCGGGCCAUUCCAUUGUGGUCCCCCAUUGGGCAGUCUGUACCAUACUUGCAGUUUGGGAAGGGGUUCCUCAACCCAAAAAUGCUUUGAAUGAGCCGAAUUAAAAUGUCUGUCUAGUUGUAUGUGAUUAAUAGUAAACAGUGCCUUCAUUAUUCUCAUUUGGGGGGCCUCAAUCCCCCCCUUUUUUAUGCAGAAGUAGUUUCAAGAUACCAUUGGCACGUGUGACAAUGGCUUGACCUGGAGGAUUUCGGGAGAAUGCCAGGAGAAUGUGUGAUUCCCCAAUCAUUUAGGAGUUGGGUUAUGCGAUGGGACGUACAAGCCAGGCCAUUGUCCGUUUUCAGGUUUUGCGGGAUGCCCAUUAUGGCAAAGCAUUCCAAGAGAUGAUUAAUGACAUGAGAGGAGCCUUCACCACUCUGAGCGGAGGCCCAUAGACAUCCAGAGAGCGAUGAGCAAACCGGCGGCAGUGACUGAAUCAAUAAGAAACUGUAAACAUGUAUAGAGAAGGGGUUAUUAUCUGAAGCAAGCGGGAUAUCAUCCGUGUAGUGUUACUUUGCACGCUGUAAGGUGCAGAAGCACUCGCACUCGCUCCUCAUGGACAGCCUGUUGCCUACUUAAAGAUGUUCCCAUAACUAACACGUUUAUAACAGAAAAACAGAUCAGAGAGAAAUUGAAAGUAAAAUCCUGCACGCCUGAAAGAAAAAUGUGAGUUCAACCGUCAAUCCGUCGCAGACGUCAAGCACCGUACUUCCUACCUGGAUGAGCGCACAUCCUCUCCCUGUCUCGGGCUUGAGGAGUGAUGUGCAGGAUGAGGAUUAUAUCGAGUCCUGAACAAAAUCCCUGUUCGGGCGCCAAAUGUCGUCACACACUGAAAUCAAGUUCUCAGACAACCAUCUGAGCGGCCCUGCAGGACUGCCUCUGCCAGAGGCAGCCUCAGCUGGGUUCUGCUCAUAGCUUUUAUUUUGUUUUUUAUCAGAAAAGCAAGGACAGAUGCCUCCAAGCGUGGGAAAGGAGUACACAGGGAUGGCAAAUAUCUUGAGGCAGGCUUGCAUUUUCCCCGACGACGUGUAGGCACGCAGGGAGGCAGUCAUGGGAUAAGGGAGGAGCAGGAAGGGGGGAUGACGGUUACAUUCUUUCCUAGCUCCUAACCUAUGCCCUGCCCCUGGGGAUCUUGGGAUCCUGUUCCUUCUGGGCCAUUGCUUUCAACAGCCGGAGGCCAGGAACGCUGCUGACGUUUCAGCUGCUUCCACACUCACCCCGUAGGGCUUACAGUAUUCUAAGAAUAACUCCACACACAUAUACUAAAAAGAAAAUAGUGUUUCAUUUAAGAAUGUGUAUUACUAAUUGCAUUUUUCCACUUGCAUAUUGUUUAGUGUAUUUUUUUUUUUAAAGAUUUUAUUUAUUUAUUUGCG